AUACUACUGAGGACGGGGUCAAUGCGCGAUCAAGUAGGCCCAUGGCCUAGGUUGAUGACUUCCAUUGCACUUUGGAGGGCACCCGCCUAAGGUCAAUUCAAGUGGUUGAGCCUAUGUCUUACUUUUUGGAAGUGGGGGCUUGUGUUAGCGCGGCCCCUAU
rfam:Capsicum annuum cultivar Zunla-1 unplaced genomic scaffold scaffold3822, whole genome shotgun sequence